UACAUAUGUAUAUAUAUAUAGACAUAUAUUACAUAUAGGCACUGGUGUGUGUGUGCGCUUGUGCUAGCUUGUUGGCCUUUUGUAUUGAAUGGAUUUGGGAAGGGGGAAUGUACUAAGUACUACGACAACUACAACGACAAAGUGCUCGGACGCGUCGCCGAUGGGCCGACGAAAUGUGUGUGUGCGCCUCCAGUUAUGCAACAGUGUGCGUGUGUGUGUGUAUGUAUGUGUGUAUUUGAAUCUAUGUUUAACAUUUUUUGCACUCGUGUUUGAUUAACAGAAUUGCGCACUGUUAAGCGUUAACAGUUGAUGCUGUUGCGGCCGCAACGACGACGCGUCGUCGCCGUCAGCGAAAAUAAACAA